rnacentral:rRNA from 1 species
UUAGAUCAGAAGCGAGAAUGUUGACAUGAGUAGCGACAAACAGGGUGAGAAACCCUGUCGCCGAAAGUCCAAGGGUUCCUGCUUAAAGCUAAUCUGAGCAGGGUAAGCCGGCCCCUAAGGCGAGGCCGAAAGGCGUAGUCGAUGGGAACCAGGUUAAUAUUCCUGGGCCAGUGGGAUGUGACGGAUCGCAGAUGUAGUUUGCCCUUAUCGGAUUGGGUGGGCUGCUGAGCGGUUCCAGGAAAUAGCCCCACAUCAGACCGUACCCUAAACCGACACAGGUGGACUGGUAGAGUAUACCAAGGCGCUUGAGAGAACCACGUUAAAGGAACUCGGCAAAAUGCCUCCGUAAGUUCGCGAGAAGGAGGCCCCAUAUGUACGCAAGUAUGUGUGGGGGGCACAAACUAGGGGGUGGCGACUGUUUACUUAAAACACAGGGCUGUGCGAAGCCGUAAGGCGACGUAUACAGUCUGACGCCUGCCCGGUGCUGGAAGAUUAAGAGGAGGGGUGCAAGCUCUGAAUUGAAGUCCCAGUAAACGGCGGCCGUAACUAUAACGGUCCUAAGGUAGCGAAAUUCCUUGUCGGGUAAGUUCCUACCUGCACGAAUGGCGUAACGAUCUCCCCGCUGUCUCUAACGUGGACUCAGCGAAAUUGAACUGUGUGUCAAGAUGCACACUACCCGCGGUUAGACGGAAAGACCCCAUGAACCUUUACUCCAGCUUUGCACUGGUAUCAGGAUUGUGAUGUGCAGGAUAGGUGGUAGGCAUUGAAGCGGGGACGCCAGUCUUCGUGGAGCCUCCCUUGAGAUACCACCCUUCGCCAUCUUGAUAUCUAACCGCGGCCCGUUAUCCGGGUCCGGGACCCUGCAUGGUGGGGAGUUUGACUGGGGCGGUCGCCUCCCAAACAGUAACGGAGGCGCGCGAUGGUUGGCUCAGACCGGUCGGAAAUCGGUCGUUGAGUGCAAUGGCAGAAGCCAGCCUGACUGCAAGACUGACAAGUCGGGCAGAGACGAAAGUCGGUCAUAGUGAUCCGGUGGUCCCAAGUGGGAGGGCCAUCGCUCAACGGAUAAAAGGUACUCUGGGGAUAACAGGCUGAUGAUGCCCAAGAGUCCAUAUCGACGGCAUCGUUUGGCACCUCGAUGUCGGCUCAUCUCAUCCUGGGGCUGGAGCAGGUCCCAAGGGUAUGGCUGUUCGCCAUUUAAAGAGGUACGUGAGCUGGGUUUAGAACGUCGUGAGACAGUUCGGUCCCUAUCUGCCGUGGGUGCAGGAGACUUGAGAAGAGUUGACCCUAGUACGAGAGGACCGGGUUGAACGAACCACUGGUGGACCAGUUAUCGUGCCAACGGUAGUGCUGGGUAGCUAUGUUCGGACAGGAUAACCGCUGAAGGCAUCUAAGCGGGAAGCCCCCUUCAAAACAAGGUCUCCCUUGAGGGCCGUGGAAGACGACCACGUCGAUAGGCCAGAGGUGUAAGUGCAGCAAUGCAUUCAGCUGACUGGUACUAAUUGCCCGA